rnacentral:rRNA from 1 species
UACAGAGGUCUCAAGCGUUGUUCGGAUUCAUUGGGCGUAAAGGGUGCGUAGGCGGCGCGGUAAGUCGGGUGUGAAAUCUUGGAGCUUAACUCCGAAACUGCAUUCGAUACUGCCGUGCUUGAGGACUGGAGAGGAGACUGGAAUUUACGGUGUAGCGGUGAAAUGCGUAGAUAUCGUAAGGAAGACCAGUGGCGAAGGCGGGUCUCUGGACAGUUCCAUGACGCUGAGGCACGAAGGUCAGGGGAGCAAACGGG